UACGUAGGUGGCAAGCGAUACUCGGAAUCACUAGGCGUAAAGCGCAGGUAGGCGGUUUGGUAAGUCUCUUGUGAAAGCUCCCGGCUUAACUGGGAGAGGUCAAGGGAAACUACCAGGCUAGAGUGCGGAAGAGGCGAGUGGAAUUCCUGGUGUAGCGGUGAAAUGCGCAGAUAUCAGGAGGAACACCAAUUGCGAAGGCAGCUCGCUGGGACGUUACUGACGCUGGAGACGCGAAAGCGUGGGGAGCGAACAGG
rnacentral:rRNA from 1 species